AAAUUGAAGAGUUUGAUCAUGGCUCAGAUUGAACGCUGGCGGCAGGCCUAACACAUGCAAGUCGAACGGUAACAGGAAGCAGCUUGCUGCUUCGCUGACGAGUGGCGGACGGGUGAGUAAUGUCUGGGAAACUGCCUGAUGGAGGGGGAUAACUACUGGAAACGGUGGCUAAUACCGCAUAACGUCGCAAGACCAAAGAGGGGGA
rnacentral:rRNA from 11 species